UUUCUUCAAAGUGUAAAUCUGUUGUUCAAGCUUCAAAUGUAUCUUGUUUAUUAUCUUUCCUUUUAUGCAAACUAAUGGACCAUAUUUCUACUCAAACAGAGGCAAAGACGUCUUCUUAAUGUUGCAGAAGUUUGGAGGCAUCAAGGAAUGCAUCCUCCUCUUGCUAUGCAAACUGAGGAAAUCAAAGUGAUGGGAAAGCAUUGUACAACAGCUGUUGACUUCAGGAUAUUUCAUGGAUGAGUUAUACUCCUUGACUCCCAUGAGUGUAUCAUCCGCUUGCUAUGCAAACUGAGGAAAUCAAAGUGGCAAAGCAAUUGACUGCAUGUGUUGACUUCAGGAUAUCUCAAGGACGAGUUAGAAUCUGUGACGCUCAGGGAUGCAUCCUCUGC